rnacentral:rRNA from 1 species
UCCCAGCACCCCGAGUGGUCGGGACGAUUAUUGGGCCUAAAGCAUCCGUAGCCGGUUCUACAAGUCUUCCGUUAAAUCCACCUGCUUAACAGUUGGGCUGCAGAGGAUACUAUAGAGCUAGGAGGCGGGAGAGGCAAGCGGUACUUAGUGGGUAGGGGUAAAAUCCGUUGAUCCACUGAAGACCACCAGUGGCGAAGGCGGCUUGCCAGAACGCGCUCGACGGUGAGGGAUGAAAGCUGGGGGAGCAAACCGGAGGAAAACCGGUAGUC